rnacentral:tRNA from 1 species
GAAGAAUUAGUUAAAUUUAUAACAUUAGAUUGUCAAACUAAAAUUAUCAAUGAUAUUCUUUU